rnacentral:rRNA from 1 species
GACGAACGCUGGCGGCGUGCUUAACACAUGCAAGUCGAACGGAAAGGCCCCUUUGGGGGUCCUCGAGUGGCGUACGGGGGGGUAACACGUGCGUAACCUGCCCUUGACUUCGGGAUAACUUCAGGAAACUGGGGCUAAUACCGGAUAGGAAUCCUUGCUGCAUGGUGGGGGUUGGAAAGUUUCGGCGGUUUUGGAUGGAGUUGCGGCCUAUCCGCUUGGUGGUGGGGUAGUGGCUUAGCAAGGCUUUGACGGGUAACCGGGCUGGGAGGGCGACCGGCCCCAGUGGGACUGGGACUGGGCCCAGACUCCUACGGGAGGCAGCAGUGGGGAAGAUUGCACAAGGGGCGGAGGCCUGAUCCAGCACCACCGCGGGCGGGAUGACGGCCUUCGGGUUGUAAACCGCUUGCAGCAGGGGCGAAGCUUGUGGUGACGGUACCGGCAGAAGAAGCACCGGCUAACUACGUG